CCUACGGGAGGCAGCAGUGAGGAAUAUUGGUCAAUGGGCGCGAGCCUGAACUAGCCAAGUCGCGUGAGGGAAGACGGUCCUAUGGGUCGUAAACCUCUUUUGCCGGGGAGCAAGGGCCGGGACGAGUCCCGGUCCGGAGAGUACCCGGAGAAAAAGCAUCGGCUAACUCCGUGCCAGCAGCCGCGGUAAUACGGAGGAUGCGAGCGUUAUCCGGAUUUAUUGGGUUUAAAGGGUGCGUAGGCGGGCUUUUAAGUCAGCGGUAAAAAUUCGGGGCUCAACCCCGUCCGGCCGUUGAAACUGGGUGG
rnacentral:rRNA from 1 species